UGGUUAAAGCGCCUGUCUCGUAAACAGGAGAUCCUGGGUUCGACUCCCAGUAGGGCCUGGCGUUUUCUCGGGAGCUCUCGCC
rnacentral:miRNA from 1 species